AGUCGAGCGAGGUAGCAAUACCUAGCGGCAGACGGGUGCGUAACAUGUGGGAAUCUGCCUUUUGGUUCGGAAUAACACGGGGAAACCUGUGCUAAUACCGGAUAAGUCCUUACGGAGAAAGUUUUAAUGCCAAAAGAUGAGCCCGCAUUUGAUUAGUUUGUUGGUGAGGUAAUGGCUCACCAAGACUACAAUCAAUAGCUGAUUUGAGAGGAUGAUCAGCCACACUGGGACUGAGAUACGGCCCAGACUCCUACGGGAGGCAGCAGUGGGGAAUCUUGCACAAUGGGCGAAAGCCUGAUGCAGCGAUGCCGCGUGAGUGAAGAAGGCCCUUGGGUUGUAAAGCUCUUUUGUCGGGAAAGAUAAUGACUGUACCCGAAGAAUAAGGUCCGGCUAACUUCGUGCCAGCAGCCGCGGUAAUACGAAGGGACCUAGCGUAGUUCGGAAUUACUGGGCGUAAAGAGUAUGUAGGCGGCUAGAUAAGUUAAUUGUGAAAGCCCAAAGCUUAACUUUGGAAUUGCAAUUAAAACUAUUUAGCUAGAGUAUGAUAGAGGAAAGCGGAAUACAUAGUGUAGAGGUGAAAUUCGUAGAUAUUAUGUAGAACACCAGUUGCGAAGGCGGCUUUCUGGAUCAUUACUGACGCUGAGAUACGAAAGUAUGGGUAGCGAAGAGGAUUAGAUACCCUCGUAGUCCAUACUGUAAACGAUGAUUAUUAGAUGUGGGGAAUUAUUUCUCUGUAUCACAGCUAACGCGUUAAAUAAUCCGCCUGGGGAGUACGACCGCAAGGUUAAAACUCAAAUGAAUUGACGGGGACCCGCACAAGCGGUGGA
rnacentral:rRNA from 1 species